ACCACUGGAUAGAGCGGGGAUAAAGACGCCCACCGUUGUAACUUUCCUAAGGCCCACCGUCAUGUUUAUAUACCGGUCACAGGGAGACCCCCAACCUGGAUGGAUGAAUGAAAAAACAAAACUCAACUUUCAACGGUGGGCGUUCAAUCUCAGAUGGACGGAGUGGAUAUAACACGUACACCAUGGCGGGCCCUAUCGAGCUUAGGGCUGCAGGCAAUAGGUAUUCCUCGCUGCAUAAGUAGCAAAGCUUGCACACGUGUGAAACGAUGAGUUGGCCAGCUGGGUUCGAUGUAUUCCUGACCCAAUUGUCAGGUGAUCUGGUGGGCUACAAACGUACGGGUAAAAAGAGGGCCGGUGUUAUAAGUUUCGAUGUACAUGCGGGCCACCUGAAUUAGUAGAGUUAGCUGCGUGAAGUUUUCAGUGGGCCCUACCUGGCGUGUCGUGAAGUGAAUUG